rnacentral:snoRNA from 1 species
UGUCUCCUGGUGCUUACCAUAGGCUGUAUUCUUACACUGUACAGAAAGAGGAGGCAAAGUAAACCUACCCCAGGAUAGAACAAGGAAGAUCAGUCUAAGAGGCACAAGGAAAAAUGG